rnacentral:rRNA from 1 species
UACGUAGGGGGCAAGCGUUAUCCGGAUUUACUGGGUGUAAAGGGAGCGUAGACGGCUGUGCAAGUCAGAAGUGGAAGCCCGGGGCUCAACCGCGGGACUGCUUUUGAAACUGUGUAGCUAGAGUGCAGGAGAGGUAAGUGGAAUUCCUAGUGUAGCGGUGAAAUGCGUAGAUAUUAGGAGGAACACCGGUGGCGAAGGCGGCUUACUGGGCUGUAACUGACGUUGAGGCUCGAAAGCGUGGGGAGCAAACAGG